GGGCUUGACAUCCCACGAACCUUGCCGAAAGGCAGGGGUGCCCGCAAGGGAGCGCGGAGACAGGUGGUGCAUGGCUGUCGUCAGCUCGUGUCGUGAGAUGUUGGGUUAAGUCCCGCAACGAGCGCAACCCUCACCCCUUGUUGCCAUCAGGUCAUGCUGGGCGCUCUAGGGGAACUGCCCCGGUCAACGGGGAGGAAGGCGGGGACGACGUCAAGUCAUCAUGCCCCUUACGCCCUGGGCUACACACGUGCUACAAUGGCCGGUACAAAGGGAUGCGAGACCGCGAGGUGGAGCCAAACCCAAAAAGCCGGUCUAAGUUCAGAUUGGAGUCUGCAACUCGACUCCAUGAAGGAGGAAUCGCUAGUAAUCACCCAUCAGCACGGGGUGGUGAAUACGUUCCCGGGCCUUGUACACACCGCCCGUCACACCACGAAAGUCAGCUGUACUCGAAGUCGCUGAG
rnacentral:rRNA from 1 species